CACAACUUUUAUUUUUAUCUCUAGAAGGGGUCUUAGCCCUCCUAGUCUCCAGUUGCUGCUGACACGCCGACCGCCUGCUGCUUCAGCUACACCUCCCGACAGAUUCCACAGAAUUUCAUAGCUGACUACUUUGAGACGAGCAGCCAGUGCUCCAAGCCCAGUGUCAUCUUCCUAACCAAGAGAGGCCGGCAGGUCUGUGCUGACCCCAGUGAGGAGUGGGUCCAGAAAUACGUCAGUGACCUGGAGCUGAGUGCCUGAGGGGUCCAGAAGCUUCGAGGCCCAGCGACCUCAGUGGGCCCAGUGGGGAGGAGCAGGAGCCUGAGCCUUGGGAACAUGCGUGUGACCUCCACAGCUACCUCUUCUAUGGACUGGUUAUUGCCAAACAGCCACACUGUGGGACUCUUCUUAACUUAAAUUUUAAUUUAUUUAUACUAUUUAGUUUUUAUAAUUUAUUUUUGAUUUCACAGUGUGUUUGUGAUUGUUUGCUCUGAGAGUUCCCCCUGUCCCCUCCACCUUCCCUCACAGUGUGUCUGGUGACAACCGAGUGG
rnacentral:lncRNA from 1 species